CAGGUAUUAGUUGUUGGUUGAUUUUUUAUUUUGUCCAUUUUCAGACAAAUAUCAGACAGUAUAUGAUGAUUCUGGUGCUCUGUUUCAUUCAGUAAAGGAAUCCAUCAAAGAUGAAGCUAAGCCUUUGGAAAAAAAACACAAAAGGAAAAAGACCAGAAAGACAUUUAUCAGUGAUGUAAGAGGAUCUUCAGAA